GAUGAACGCUGGCGGCGUGCUUAACACAUGCAAGUCGAACGAUGAAGCCCAGCUUGCUGGGUGGAUUAGUGGCGAACGGGUGAGUAACACGUGAGUAACCUGCCCUUAACUCUGGGAUAAGCCUGGGAAACUGGGUCUAAUACCGGAUAGGAGCGUCCACCGCAUGGUGGGUGUUGGAAAGAUUUAUCGGUUUUGGAUGGACUCGCGGCCUAUCAGCUUGUUGGUGAGGUAAUGGCUCACCAAGGCGACGACGGGUAGCCGGCCUGAGAGGGUGACCGGCCACACUGGGACUGAGACACGGCCCAGACUCCUACGGGAGGCAGCAGUGGGGAAUAUUGCACAAUGGGCGCAAGCCUGAUGCAGCGACGCCGCGUGAGGGAUAACGGCCUUCGGGUUGUAAACCUCUUUCAGUAGGGAAGAAGCGAAAGUGACGGUACCUGAAGAAGAAGCACCGGCUAACUACGUG
rnacentral:rRNA from 1 species